GGGGAUUUAGCUCAGUGGUAGAGUGCUUGCCUAGCAAGCAUAAGGCCCUGGGUUCGGUCCCCAGCUCCG
rnacentral:tRNA from 1 species